rnacentral:rRNA from 1 species
AGUCACUGACAUUAGAUACCCGUGUAGUCCAGGGUGUAAACGCUGCAGACUUGGUGUUGGAAGCCCUUUGGGGGCAUUCAGUGCCGGAGAGAAGUUGUUAAGUCUGCUACUUGGGGAGUACGUCCGCAAGGAUGAAACUUAAAGGAAUUGGCGGGGGAGCACCGCAACGGGAGGAGCGUGCGGUUUAAUUGGAUUCGACACCGUAAACUCACCAGGGAAGACUGUUAUAUGAAGGCCGAGAUGAAGACUCUGCUAGAUUUUCAG